UAUUAUUUUCUGGUACACAAAUAUGUUGAACUUUAAACGAUUAUAUUAUCUCCAAUAUAUCAUAAUUUUUUUAAAACAUUUUACUGGAUUAUUAAUUUACAAUGACAAGAACAGAAGUAUACAAUUUUCAGAUCCCUAUGACCAUGGAUAAUUGCGCGGCACUAAUUGUUCAGGACCAGAAGUACUGUUACUUCCGGAAAGCAGUUCACUUUUGGGCGCAACAGGCACUGCUGCCAGCUGUUGUGGCCGUGGGCGUGGUGGGUAACAUGCUUUCCGUGGUCGUACUUACCAGAGAACCGAUGAAGAGCUCCACCAGCACGUAUCUGACUGCUCUGGCUGUAUCCGACUUGUUCUAUUUGCUGUUUGUGUUUACCAUAUCCUUUGAGAACUAUCCGUGGAUCGUCGAGGCCGAUUACUACAUUUAUUGGAAAUGGUAUCCUUACGGGCUGUGGCUUACCGACGCUGCUAGUAACACGUCGGUGCUGUUGACGGUAUCGUUCACCGUCGAACGGUACAUAGCCGUGUGCCAUCCUCUGCGCGGCCGCGUUCUGUGCACCGAGUCCCGGGCCAAGCGAGUCAUCCUGAUGGUGGCGCUAUUCUGCAUCCUGUGCACGGCCACCACGCCGCACGAGUGGCACAUAGCCAUCAACGCGGCCACAGGCAAGUUCCAGAAGAGCAGCACGGAACUGGGCCGGAACGACAUUUACAAGAAGGCGUACAACUGGUUUUGCAUCAUCACGUUCAUAUGCGUACCGCUGCUUGUGCUGGCCGUGCUCAAUUGGUUCCUGAUCAACGCGGUCAACCAGAGCCGCCGGAACCGGACGCGGCUCACGUGCCAGGGGAACGUGGUGUGGAACAGGCAGCGGCAGGAGAACAAAAUGACCAUGACGCUGAUCGCCGUAGUGAUCAUGUUCUGCGUGUGUCAGACGCCGACGGCCGUGAUGAUGCUGACGGCGUCCGUGUACGAGCCGCCCGAGAAGACACCCGCGUACUACGUGAACCGCGGUCUGCACACCAUAUUCAACUUCCUGAUGGUGGUGAACGCCGCGUCCAACUUCAUGCUGUACUGCGCCAUGAGCCGCAAGUACCGGCGCACGCUCAUGAUCACGUUCAUGCCGUUCCUGGGCGGCCCGGCACGCGCGCAACGCUACGCUCCGGUCGUCGGUCAGCUACCCGCGGUCCGGCACCAUGGUCCGGCGCAACACGGAGGUCACGCAAAUGACCGACAUAAUCGGCGCCGCGGCCACCGGCAAACGCGAACCUCUCAUCCGGGCCGGCACCAACCACGGCAGGCACGCCGCCAACAACAAGCAGCAGCUGACCGCCACGGCCGUUCUCUAAGCGCGCCGCGGUCGUAUCAAGCCGGGUUCACAGCGUCGUGCCGUGCGGCGCUUUUUGUCGUAUUUUCGUGACAAUCAUAAUAUUAUAUUAUAAUGAUAUAACCACGAACUAUGUCGUGAAAAUUUCUAUGUCCAACCGAGCUCGACUUUUGGACGCUACACGACAGACGACAUAUGUGACUGCAGUGAACCCGGCUUUAUUAUAUUAUACAACUGAUGUCCGACUAUUACAUCUAUGAUAUUAUGAUAAUAUUAUAAUGACAUCCGUCCCACUAUACAAUUAUUAUUAUUAUCAUUACCAACUAUAUAUUAUUUUAUAAUUUACUGUUAUAUACACACACACGAAUCACGACUGUACAUGAUAUGUUUGCGUAAAAUAUUCACAGGCUAUACAUAUUACAUAUUAUUAUGUUUACAGGCACCUGCCUAUCAUCGCCCCUUCGACAAUCGACAACGCGAUUUUCACUCGACUAAAAUGAUUAUGCGAUUUACGUCGAAAUACGACCAGAUAACUUCUCGGGCGGACAGCAAUAUUGGGCCACAUGGCACGUCAUAUUAUUAUCUACCUGUUUCGUAUACAAAACAUUACCCGGGUAUUGGACCACAACUAAAAUAUGAAAUGUUUAAAGGGUACCGGCAAUUACCAUAUAUAUUAAAUAUAAAUAUAAAUUUUAUAACUUAAUCAAUAUAAUACUAUUAUAUCUUAAAUCAAUUCAAUUUAAUAUAUUAUGUAUAGUUAAUGCCCACAUAUUAUUCAACCAACAAAGCCAUGAAAUUAUUAAAUUAAAUAAAAAUAUUUAAUAAUAUACAAUAAUUAUAGGUACCUACGCACUGCAGUUCAGUUAUAAAUUAUAAUAAUUAUAUCAAUAAUAAGCCGAAAACUACUAUUUUUUCAAAUAAUGAGAUAAGUUACAAUUAAAAACAUAUCAUUACUAGUACGAUUACGGUAUAGUGGGACAAAUAACAAAUAUACCUCGUGAUGAUGUUCCCCAACAACUAUAAGGAAGUUCAUAAAAAUAGUUAAGUCGUGGCCUAUAGUGCCCCAGUUACCGCAGUUACUGUAUAGGUAUUCCUUUUUAAAAAUGGUUAAUUAUUGUGGCCCGGUUCCCGAACGCCUGUAAUCCCUCGUAUGUAUAAAAGUAUAAAACCCUUUUCUUCGUCUAGGUAGAGCAUGUACCUUUACAGUUUACACGUACACCCACCAGUAACGGAUACUGUAAGAAGAAUCUGUCGCGUUUGCGUCACAUUUCGAUAAUCCUCGUUGAAUUUCGUUUUCGGAAAUUAUUUCCAAAACGUGUACAUAUUAUACUAUAUAACAUUUUGUACAUAGGUAGUGUAGUUUUUCACACGAAUAGGAGCACCACGUGGUCCGGUGAAAAGUAUAUAUAUAUGACGAUUUACCAUCAUUGGGCCUGUAUAUAGUAUGCGUUACGAUAAUAUUAUAUUCUAACACCACAUGUGUGCUGCCAUCGAGCAGUGGCGUGUCUAAACGACUUUUAAACUUGAAGCAAUACAAAUAAUUAAGAACCCACCUAGGGGUUCCAAAAUACAGAUGUCCCAUAUAAAUACAUUUUUUUUCUACAGAAAAAAAUCCGUCAUCGUAUUUCGUAUUUUCAACGCGUAUCACACACCCACGCCCAUUUUAGACAUAAGGACAUUUCUUGAAAAAUACCCUCUUCAGCUAGCCACUGGCUAUGAUAUUAUCAAGUCUGCAGUCAGACCUCCGAAAAUGCCACGGCGGCCGGGCACUUGGAUUACACGUCACACACCAGCUAACUCUCUCCUCGCCGGAUAAAAUGACGAACCAGUGACUGGUGUGGCCCAAUGCGUUGUAAAAAUAUAAUAUAACAACAGUUUUUUUCAUAAUAUUCGUAUUUCCAAGUCGAAGGGGAGGAUUUUAGAAUCGUUAAAAUCAUUUCGAGUCGGAGAAGCUGCAGAUUAUAAUGUACAAUUUCGUUAGAGCAGUCACGCGCGCGUGUAUCUAUAUUAUUAUAAUAUCCUUUUAUCCGCCCGAAAGCGGCGCUGAACACGAUUACUGCCGGCGCCAAAAGCAGUAAUUAUUAUUAGCUGGUAGGUAUAUAUAAUCUACAUAAUAUUAUAGUGACGCAAAUUACUAUCUUCAAGGUUUUGAGAUAAUGCAGGCCCACACGUGCACCUUUAUAUAUAUAUAUAUACAUACACAUAUUAACAUAUAUAACGUAAGUUAAAGGUUCAUUCUUGCUCGUUACGAUUACAUUUUCUUUCUUGUUUUCUCGUGCUUAGGUACUUAGGCUACUUAGCCAAUUAAUGCUAUAUAACUAUAUAUAUAUAUAUAUUAUAUUGAGUUUUGUUAGCACAUGAAAUGAACAUAUUACAUUUUAGGAUCGACAGCGUGUGAUAAUUCCUGUGAUCUAGGAUCCCAUAUAUUUAAGUCCCAUCAAUGCACAUCCUCCGGCGAAAUAUCAAAAAAAGUUAACUUUUUUUAUUAUAACGCUUAUACCUACACAAGUUUAAAAGAGAUUUUUAAAUGAGAUGAAGUGUCACUCCCGCGGACGUUUAAUCGUCAAAUGCACGGCAUAAAAACAAGAGUCCGAAUCAACGCAGGUAAUAUAAUAUUGUAAUAUAAAGGGGUUAUUCAAAAUGAUUCAUCCGAUAUAAAAUGUUUAUAUAUUUUUAGUUUUUAGGAUUAGAGUAAUAUAAUAUGAUAGGUACUUACAUUAAAUAAAAUAACAAUAUUUCAAAUUAAUUUAAUGGUAUAAUCUACCUAUAUAAAUAUAUAAUUAAUGUUCUAUUUGACUUUCCUUUGUCACAAGAACAACAUAAUAUAGUAGGAACUUAAAUUCUGGUACGAUACGAUUUCGCACUUUUUUCCUUUUUAUACUUGAGAAAACAUAACACGAAUGCGCAUAACAAACAAUUUAUAUUGUUGGAUUACUUGGAUUUAAAGAAAUAUCAAUAAUAUUGUCUAAUAAUGUCACUGAUGAUUUACUUACACUACUAAAACGUAGUAUCUAUUACCUAUAUAGUAUAUAUAAUAUAAUAUAUACAUAUCUAUUAUAUUAUAUUAAAUUGUAUUUUAAAAAUAAUAUUCGUCAACAAAAAUAUAAUCAAAAUAUAAUAACGUAGGUACAUAUAGUCUAUAGUCUAUAUAGUCAGAAAUAUUGAUUGUGCGUCCAACGAAAAACAAACUAAAAUAUAAACGAAGUUCACAAAGUUUCCAAAUUUCCUUAAGUCGGUAAAUUCAUAGUUACAUAAUAAUAACCUAAUACAUACGUAUAUAAAUUAAUCUUAAUAAAAAAAUAAAAACUUUUUGUGCUUAAUCGUGUUGUUUUUUGCAGGUAAAAAGUCUGCAAUCGUGUUACGUCCCUUAAAUUUAUUCCACGCAUAUCCGCUGGAAUAGCCUCCGCUAUUUUUUUAGCUUCUCUGUGUUGAAGAUAAAUCGUGGUACACUGCCACCCUGGUACAGUAUCCUACUUUCCUCAUCGGCAGUACCUUUUUGAAUAAUACGAUUGCGAACAUUUUUACUUGCCAACUUAUAUAGUUACAGUAUAUGUAACGUUAUCGUAUCGUAUCGAUUUGUUACUGCAGAUCACAUGAUAUAUUGAUAUUGUAUUUAAGAAUAAAUGAUUAGUUGAACAUAUCCCCAAAAGAAGUAGUCACACAGCGUAAAAAUGUAAGAUCAGGUGACCUAAGGAGCCAAGUGCAAAGCGCCGAAUGAUUCAUUUUGAAUAACCCUGUACAAUUUAGUAUCUAUACGAUCGGGAGUCACGUUGUUCCGGUCGCUCGUAUACAUUUACUUCACGUCGAAAAUGUCAGAGAAACUUAUUGAGUUUAAAAAAACGCUAAACCACCCUCCUCGCCCAUGCCUAUCAUCACGACGGUUUAAAGUAUGAUUUCGUUGAAAAUCGGAGUCAGAAUUCGAUCCAUCGGCGGCUGGGUCGAGAGUUGAGAUACGCGUUUGAUCACAUCAAUCGGGAACCUGCUCCCACUCUUAGACUACUAUGAGACACAAAAAUUAAUUUAGUUGUAACAAUAUGAGUCAGGCAGAGUAAAAGCUAAUAAUUAAAAUAAUAGAGACAAAAUUACGUUUUAUUUUUUGUACAACCCUCCCGGUACACGUUUCGGCGACACGCGUUCACGAUAUACAGAAUUACAGAAAAUAAAUCAUAGGACUGAUAUAAUUUUUAUAGAUAUCCGAUGUAUAAUAAUAACAAACCGAUAUUAAAAAAUAAAAAAAGCUACAACUAUAGUACCUACCUACCUACAAUCCGAUAAAACAAUAAUUUUAAAAUACAGCAUUAUUACUUAUUAGUAUUAAUAUAAUUUUCUGCGUUUAUUCGCAAUAAUAAUGUAGUAAUAUGAAGUAAUUAUAGGCAGUCUCAUUUGCCAAAUAUUAAUAAUAAAAGAUACAUAAUAUACAAAUUAGUAUAAUUUAUUACGUAUUAUAUUUUAGUCAGUCUUCAAGACCAAGUAGAUAAUUCAAAUUCAAAUACAAUUAAUAUUAAACGAUUUUCCUGGUUUCUCUUAAUAAAUUGAAUUAAUAUUACAUUUCAAAAUAACUAGACGAGUAAACAUAGCAAUCCCCAGCUAUACAACGGGCACUGUGUGCAGUGCGUUGUGUAUAGUAUGCAUAAUUAAUAAAUCGAACGUCAUUGAAUAAAAAAUAGGUAUAAGUACCUAUUCACUUGUAUGGCGUACAUAUUAUAUAUUUUGCAUUAUUCUCAUCAUUAGGCACAUAAUACAUUAUCAUCGUUAUUAUUGCACGUAGGUAAUUAGAUAUUAUAAUACAAUUAGAAAUAUAUAUGUGAUUUGUGUUACUAUUCGUUAAGUCCGUUUUAGGUAUAAGUAUAUAAACAUUUAAACAUAUUAUAGAACCUAUAUAUUAUAAACAAUUAUUAUUAUUAUCAUCGCUGUAGUCUCUCUAUAGGUAUAUAUUUGACCCACCGCCACAAUAUUUAGGUACCUACGUAAAUGUAAAUAAGAAAUAAACUUUAUUACUUCCCCUCGUUUAAAAACGAUUAUCGUGUGUGAAUGUGUGCGUUUUUAAAUAUAUACAAAUACAUAAAUUUUACCCGCCUGUACGGCUGUACAUAAUAUAUUAUAUAACCGACGACCAAAGCGCCGAUCUGUCCUGCAUGCAUAUUAUACGCGUAUUAUAAUAUCGUAGUUUGCGGUCUCGUAUUAUUAUUAUUAUUAUUAUUAUCAUUAUUACUAUUAUACGGUGUAUAUACUAUUAUAUUAUUAUUACGGUUACCUCACCACCCUCAUCCCUUACAAAUACUUCCCCACCGGCCACCGACCCUUACAUUUAUAUUACUCGGUUACUGUAACGUCGUGAACGAAAAACAAAACCGAAAAAAUCCUUCUCCCUAACUCCCCACACACACAACAACCGCUGUAUAUUAUACGAGUUUCGAUGGUUCCUCUCCACCCUUGUCACACACUACAGUUGUACUACACAAUGCGUAUAAUAUAAUAAUAAUUGUAUAUUAUAAUCAUCGUUGUCGUACUCGACCGAAAAUAGUCGACUGGAGGAAUGGCGUGCGCGUGAACUAGAUUUUAAUUUUAAUAUCUGGCAACAAAAUCCGUACACGACGACAACGACGUUUUCCGUUUGCCAUUUACCGUUCGCUAUUUUUACACACUCGACGCAAAUGUUAAGUAGGUACCUAUAUACCGACUGGUCAGCGCGUACUGCGAGCGAUUUAUUUCCGCCCCGACGCAACACGCCACUCACGUGGGCUGUCGAAACCCGUCCAAUUUAAAAGUUAUAAUAAUAAUAUAAUAAACACCGAAGUACGCUCCAUCGUUACAUUUUUGGGAUGUGCUCUGGCCAGCUAUAUCAGAUCAAUUAUGAUAAUACAGCUCAUCUCGUCUAACCGCACUAUUAUAUAAUACCUAAUAAAUAUAUUAUAUAUACAUCGUAUACACUAUUAGAUCGUCAUAAGUUAUUGUAAUUUAUAAAUAUUAUUAUAAUGUAAGCAUAUCCAAAAAGUUACUAAUUUCAUAAAAUUAAAAGUGAAUGUUUUUUUUUUUAAAUUUAUUAUAAUAAGUUGUCUUAUAGAUGUAGAUAUAAUAUACAAUAUAUGUACCGACUUACACCGACUUACUAUCUUAGAUAUAAGAUAAUAUUAUAUAAAGCAAAACAAUAUUGUUCCGACGUUUGAUUUUGAAAAAAUCAUAAUAUACAUAAUAUAAUAAUUUCCAUGUAUUUAGGUACUGAAAUACCUUAGUCCCUACUCUAUAUUACCUAUAUUAUUAUAGACGCGAGUCGUGACGACAAGCCGCUAUAAUAUCUUAUAUUAUACAUUUAUAAUACCUACUGUAGGUACCUACAUUAUUUUUACGGUACCUACUUAUGAUAUUGUGCAUUUUUAGAUGAAUAAAAGUUUAAAUUAUAUAAUAUACGAAUAUGCGUUUACGAAAUA
rnacentral:misc_RNA from 1 species